UACGAGGGGUGCAAGCGUUGUUCGGAAUUACUGGGCGUAAAGCGUGUGUAGGUGGUCAUGUAAGUCAGAUGUGAAAGCCUGGGGCUCAACCCCAGAAGUGCAUCUGAAACUAUUUGACUUGAGUAUGGGAGAGGGUAGCGGAAUUCCUGGUGUAGUGGUAAAAUACGUAGAUAUCAGGAGGAACAUCGGUGGCGAAGGCGGCUACCUGGCCCAAUACUGACGCUCAUGCACGAAAGCGUGGGGAGCAAACAGG
rnacentral:rRNA from 1 species